rnacentral:rRNA from 1 species
GACGAACGCUGGCGGCGUGCCUAACACAUGCAAGUCGAGCGAAUGAAGUUCCUUCGGGAACGGAUUUAGCGGCGGACGGGUGAGUAACACGUGGGCAACCUGCCUCAUAGAGGGGAAUAGCCUUCCGAAAGGGAGAUUAAUACCGCAUAAGAUUGUAGUACCGCAUGAAACAGUAAUUAAAGGAGCAAUCCGCUAUGAGAUGGACCCGCGGCGCAUUAGCUAGUUGGUGAGGUAACGGCUCACCAAGGCGACGAUGCGUAGCCGACCUGAGAGGGUGAUCGGCCACAUUGGGACUGAGACACGGCCCAGACUCCUACGGGAGGCAGCAGUGGGGAAUAUUGCACAAUGGGGGAAACCCUGAUGCAGCAACGCCGCGUGAGUGAUGACGGUCUUCGGAUUGUAAAGCUCUGUCUUUGGGGACGAUAAUGACGGUACCCAAGGAGGAAGCCACGGCUAACUACGUGCCAGCCGCCGCAGUAAAAC